rnacentral:rRNA from 1 species
CUACCAGGGUAUCUAAUCCUGUUUGCUCCCCACGCUUUCGUGCCUGAGCGUCAGUAUCGGCCCAGGGGGCUGCCUUCGCCAUCGGUGUUCCUCCACAUCUCUACGCAUUUCACUGCUACACGUGGAAUUCCACCCCCCUCUGCCGUACUCUAGCUUGCCAGUACCAAACGCAGUUCCCAGGUUGAGCCCGGGGCUUUCACAUCUGGCUUAACAAACCGCCUGCGCACGCUUUACGCCCAGUAAUUCCGAUUAACGCUCGCACCCUACGUAUUACCGCGGCUGCUGGCAC